AGACGGAGUCUUGCUCUCUCACACAGGCUGCAGUGCAGUGGUGCAAUCUCAGCUCACUGCAACCUCCGCCUCCUGGGUUCAAGCAAUUCUCCUGCCCCAGGCUCUAGAGUAGCUGGGGCUACAGGCACACACCAUUACGCGCCUGGCUAAUUUUUGUAUUUUUAGUAGAGAGGGGGUUUUGCCAUGGUGGCCGGGCUGAGGAUGACUAUUUUAAAACACUUAUAUGAUCUAGGGCUAAAAUUACUCGUCAUUGUAUUACCAGUCAUGUCUUUGAUUAUAAAUUAAAUUGAACAUCUUUGAUAAACUUCUUUACCAAUUGAUCAUUCCUUUUAUGAACUGGUGAGCUACAUCGGUGUUAUCCCUUACCGUUUCACUCUUACAGUUUUCAAAACAUUUUUUCUUAUUCCCUUGUGAGUGCCUGUCAUGUAGUGACUUUAUGUAAGCACAUCUCUCAUGUAUUGAGUUGAUCAAGAUCCCAGGGGCGUGACCCAUGGCCCGGAAGGAAAGAUGCGCAGGGUCGGCCAAUGCAAGCCCUGACCUCUGUCCUCACCAGCCCACGCUCCUGCUGGAAACCCCCCUGGAUAUCAGAGGAUGGAGGAGUUGAGGAAGGAGGAUGUGGGCGUGCAGAAGCAUGGAGAGUGAAUUUGGAGGGCAGAUCAAGAAUGGCCGAUGCAAACAGUUGCUGAAUUUUUACUUUGGUCUGAGGUCUUACUUUAUCUUUUCAUUUAUUUAUGGCAUCUGUGAUAUACAGAGGUUAUAUGAAACUUUAGGCAGCCAAAAUGAUUAUUUUUCUUCUCCCAGUUUCUACUUUUGAAGUUCUACUAAUGAGGUUUUUAUCAGCAUAAUGUUACAUACCUAUUAAUAAAUGUAAGUUUCUACUUUUUUUUAACAAAUUGGUAUUUUUCUGAAAAUUAGUUUGGUGUAUGGUGGAAGACUGGUAUAGUUUUCUUGAAAGAAUUGACCAGGUUUUAGACGAAUUUUUAUUGAAAAAGCAUUCCAACACACAGUGUGGUAACUUUUUGAGAGUUUAUUUUCCACCUUAGCUUGCCUGUGACUAGUUGUCAGAUACUAACCUGUCUGUUCACAUAUCAGAGUAAGCAAUUUUCAAUUCUGUACUUUUUAAUAGACAUUUUAUAUAUUGCAAAAUCUCAUCUCCUUUUUAAAAAUAAAAUAUCUCCCUUAAAAAUUAGAAUAUUUUUAGUCAUUAAAAAUGCACAUAUACACCAUGGAAUACUAUGCAGCCAUAAAAAAGGAUGAGUUCAUGUCCUUUGUAGGGACAUGGAUGAAGCUAGAAACCAUCAUUCUCAGCAAACUAGCGCAAGGACAGAAAACAAACACCGCAUGUUCUCACUCAUAGGUGGGAACUGAACAAUGAGAACACUUGGACACAAGAAGGGGAACAUCACACACCGGGGCCUGUCAUUGGGUGGGGGAAGUGGGGAGGGAUAGCAUUAGGAGAUAUACCUAAUGUAAAUGAUGAGUUAUUGGGUACAGCAUGCCAACAUGGCACAUUUACACAUACUUAAGAAACCUGCACGUUGUGCGCAUGUACCCUAGAACUUAAAGUAUAAUAAAAAAAUAAAAAUGCUUCGAGAUUUUGGCUGGAAUAAUUUUGCAUAGAUGCAUUUGGGAAAACUGUAGUCUAGGCACAUAUGUAUGUCUUCAUUUAUGGAGAUCUGUCAUGCCCUUCUGUGGAAUUUUAUAAGUAUUUAAGAUGAUUUUCGUAAAAUCCAUGAGGAAAUGUCUUUAUAUGGUUUCUCUUGAUAAUUAUACAUUUUUUGUUACAUGAGCACAAGUAUUUUUAAAUUUCUCUGAAUGAUUAGUCUCAGCAUUUAUAAAAGUUACUUAUCUUCUACAUUUGUAUGUACCUAUCCCAGUUAAGGAGGUAUCUUUGUUGCUUGUGAAUCUUAAGGAAAGCAUUCCUAUUAGCUUCAGAUAAUUUUAUCAUGAUUUCUAUAUCUUCGCUUUAUACUGUUUCAAUCUCUUUUUCUCUCUCCCCCCAUACCCUGGAAUAAUUUCGUACUUUUAUAUUGUACUUAUUUUUGCUAUUAGGUCAGGUUGGUGCAAAAGGAAUUGUGGUUUUUGCAUUAAAAGUGCUGGCAAAGACCACAAUGACUUUUGCGCCAACAUAAUAAAAACAUGACCUAUAUUUGGUACUUAGGUGUUCUGCUUUUGCUGUUUUCAGCUUUUGAAGUGGCAGCUUGAUCCCUAGAUUCAGGCGGAACACUCUUUCACAGAUGCUCCCUUUCUCCUGCUUCAUUCCAGGUGCACUCUCAGCUGCCACAAAAGCAAGAGCAGCAUCAUUGUUUUAAAACAUAGUUUUCAAAACAGUUAAAACUCACCAUGCAUAGUAAAGGAUGAAACCUCAUCUCCCUCAUUGGAAACCUGUCCUUACUGUGUGGGCUUCAGUCAGCUGCCUGCCUGGAGCCUGAGAUGCUGCUGCCUGGGUUUGUCUCAUUUCUUCCAUGGCCUCUGCAAUCACAUCUGUAUUCAUCUCUGAUUCGAUUCUCACUGCAUUCCAGAACACAUGGACAGAAUCUGUUGCUUCUCUCUUAAGAAUUAGCUGACAGUCUCCCUUUCUUUAUGGAAUAAGAUGUACCUCACUUUGGGUGGCAUUACAAAGGCCUGAUGACCAGGCAAUCAGGGCCGCUCUGUCCUGCCCCCUCCAUGCAGCCACACUCAGAGACCUAAUGUGUCCAUAGCGUUUCAGUUGUGUGCAUAUGUGCGGCUUGCCUGACCCCAGACCUUUGCAAUUGUCCAAGAGAAAUUGUACUGCACAAGAUAAACAUGCAAAGGGGAAUUUACUCACCGUGAUUGCAAAAGGGGAAGGGGACUGAAUUCGGCUCCACUGAAAUAAAAAAUGGGAGGGAUUUUGAGCCCUGGUACAAGGAGGGAAAUGGUCAAUGGAUGAGUCCACCACGUUGAGUUGGUUGCUCAUUUGUUUCCCAGUGUUUUUCCCCAUGGGUAUGCCACCUGUGUUUGCUAAUCAGUGGUCUUGGAGCCGAGGUCUGCAGCCUCCCACAGUGAGUGGGAGACAGGGGUGCUCUCUAGUCUGAGAGCGUGUCUGAGGGAUGGCUCCCAGGUCAUUGAGAAAGACCAUUCUCGGUGGUAAAACUGUCAAGAAGCUCUCAAAGAUAUUUACAUACAUUACAAAGGGGCAGAGGAGAAAAUUGCAAAUGCAAGUUUCCUAAAGUAAAUGCCCUUAGACAGGGAGAUCAGGAAUAAACUUUAUAAAGCUGGGUCUGGCUGAGGAUAUGUGAAGAUCAUCACGUUGGUCGCUUGUCAUCUCAUCUCCAUGGAAUGCCUUCUGCCAAAUCCUCUGGCCAGCUCCUUGUUCCAGCCUCACAGCAAAGGAGGCAUUUUCAUGCAGGCUUUUGGAGCAACUAGAUGCAGGGGGAGCUGGUCUUCCUGCAUUUUCUUCCCUUCAUUGUCGAAACCACCUUGAUGAGGCUUAAGUUUUUUUGGUCCUGGAUCUCUCCACAGACAGUAAACUCCUUGUGGAAUAAGAACAUUUACUUGUCUUUGUAAUGCCAGUGGCUCUCCUGGUGAGUGUUACAUUUUAAAUACCUGAAGCCUUGCCCUUAGCUGUAUUUGUUUCUUUGCUUUAUGACAUAUCAGAGAGGCUUAAAAGAAAUAACAUAAUAUCAAGUAGUGAUGGCUUAAAAAGCCUUGAGUAUUUCCCUUAGUGGCAAUAUUUUCAGUCUACCUUAACAUGAGAACAACACCUCAUGGUUCCAUUUAUAGCUCAUUUGUGUUUAAUUUGAAGAAGGGCUGCCUCAGUACAGUACUUAGUGUGAUUUAUGAAUUGCACUCAGAGUACCUGAAGGCGUGCACAGGUACGGAGGUAACUGACAAGAGCCCUGGAGGACCUGUCAGGAUGCCUCUCCGCCUGGAUCUGCGGAUCCCAGUUCACAGAAGAUAAUUAUUUUCCAUAUUGUACUCAUUUAUCCUA
rnacentral:lncRNA from 1 species